rnacentral:lncRNA from 1 species
AAACAGUAACCAAUUUAUAUGUACUUAGUAACCAGAAUAUAAAACAGAUUUUUACAUGCAUUUUGAAAUCAAAACAGUCAGUAUACUGACUUUGUUACCAAUUAAAGAGCGAAAAACUUAAGAAAGGUAACCAAUAUACGAGUAUAUAGUACCCACGAGUUAACAAUAUGCAUAUAAACUUUAAACUCAAAGUUGUUACAGAGGUUGAUUUCUGAUGUUGAAGUUGUUGUUGAUCUUAUUGAAG